UAAGCCCUGCACGUUGCGAAGUCCCAAGUUCCACUUGGGAUACGAAAUUCCGGAAAUUUUCAUAGCAACUGCGGGGCUUU
rnacentral:sRNA from 12 species